rfam:Schistosoma haematobium scaffold586_2, whole genome shotgun sequence.
AGUCUUCUGAAUCCAUGGAGAUUUUAUCAAAUACCAGCCCACCAGGACUAAUGGAACUCCAAAGAUAAGUGAAGUG